rnacentral:rRNA from 1 species
AUGGCAACUGGUAGUGAAGCGACGAAGGCAGCUGAGGCUGAGCUUGAGUGGCAUAAACAGGACAGCAAGAGGAUGAUCCAUGCGGUUUACCGUGUCGGGGAUCUGGACCGCAUAAUCAAGUAAUACAUAGAAUGCUUUGGGAUGAAACUGCUGGGGAAAAGAGAUGUUCCUGAUGAGAAGUACACCAACGCCUUCCUUGGCUUUGGACCAGAGGACACCAACUUCGCACUUGAAUUGACAUAUAACUAUGGUCUUGACAAGUAUGACAUUGGAGAGCGCUUUGGGCAUUUCGGAAUCGCUAAUGAGGAUGUGUACAAGUUGGCUGAGCAUGUUAAAUCCAAGGGUGGCAAUAUCACUCGUGAACCUAGUCAUGUCAAGGGAGGAUCCACUAUUAUUGCCUUUGCACAGCCUGAUGGCUACAGGUUUGCCCUUAUCCAGAGGGCUGAGAUAGAGAUAUAUGAACCUCUUUGUCAAGUCAUGCUUCGUGUUGGCGAUCUUGAGCGUUAUCUCAAGUUCUAUGAGAAAGCCCUUGGGAUGAAGCUACUAACGAAGGACGUACCUGAUUAUAAGGUACCUUCUGUUCUAAGAAUUUUUUUAGAUGUAAUGUUCUUUUUUGUUUAUUUAAAUCGGGUCCCUACUUUUUUUUGUUUAUUUAAAUCGGGUCCUAUCAUAAGUAAAGUAUUUUUGUUGGACGAUGCACGAACCACAAAACCUGGUUCUAAUUGUGCACUCCAAAACCUAGUCUUUUGUGACACGUGA